rnacentral:misc_RNA from 1 species
UUCACAUUUUCAUUGGCCUUAAAAAAUCCGGUAAAUUCACCUCAAAGCCAGUUGGGUUUUGGUGGGGCCAUCUUAUCACGUUUCAGUUCUAUAUAAAGGUAAGUUCUUACUUUGGAUGGUAGUUGAUGGAUUGAGAAAAAGAAAGAAAAUUGGCCUUUGCGAUGGGGAGAGCAUUGCUUGCUGAGCUAUAUUCUUCAUCUUCUUUUUGCUCCGCGUCCAAGAACCUGUACAAGUCGUCAUUAGGAUUUAGGCAUGGCGGAUACAUUUUGGACUUAGAAAAUUGGAAGCACUCGAUUUCGUCUCUCUUUUUUUCUGUGAUUUUCUGAAAUCUUAAGUUUGGCUGGUGAAAUACGAAUUUGCAAGCACAAGAAAUUUGCUCUUUGUUCAACUACUCUUGAUGGGGCAAAAUUGAUUUUCCAUUGCAGGUCUAUGGCAGCCCAAUUACACAUUUUCUUUUUGGUGCAGGUAUGCUGAGACAAGAAGGUAAAUGGAUUAUGUUAGCCCUGG